UACUAGAGUAGCACUCGCAUAUCAAUAAGCGGAGGAAAAGAAACUAACAAGGAUUCCCCUAGUAACGGCGAGUGAAGCGGGAAGAGCUCAAAUUUGAAAUCUUAAAGGGUUUCCCUUUACGAAUUGUAGUUUAAAGAAGUGUUUUCCUGUUGAGGUUUUGGUAAAAGUUCUUUGGAAUAGGACAUCAUAGAGGGUGAGAAUCCCGUAUUUGACCUUUACUUUCAACUUUGUGAUACACUUUCAAAGAGUCGGAUUGUUUGGGAAUGCAGUCCAAAAUGGGUGGUAAAUUUCAUCUAAAGCUAAAUAUUGGCGAGAGACCGAUAGCGAACAAGUACCGUGAGGGAAAGAUGAAAAGAACUUUGAAAAGAGAGUUAAACAGUACGUGAAAUUGUCAAAAGGGAAGCGUUUGACACCAGUGUUGUUUUUCUGAAAAUCAAUUAAAGAACUGUUUAUGCUAAGCUUGUUUAGACUUUAUCAGCUAUCUGUUUAGUUUUGAGCUUUUCUUUAAUGCACUUUUCAGUUAACAAGUCAACAUCAAUUUCUUUUGCUGUAAAAAAGCUUGAGGAAGGUGGCUUGAGAUUCGUCUUAAGUGUUUAUAGCCUCUUGCCUAUGCAGUCGGAGAGAUUGAGGUCUGCAGCGUAGAUCCUUCGGGGCUAAAUGCAUUUGUGCUAAGUUAUAGCAUUUUAUAGACAACUUGUUGACUAUGAUUUGUCUUGUAGCUUACUCGCUUAUGUUAUUUUACCUACGCUUAGGAUGUUGAACUACUGAGACAUAGA
rnacentral:rRNA from 1 species